AGCAGAUAAACAAGGACUGUUUCUUAUGUUUUUAGUAUAGAUUUUUGAAAGGAAGAUAUAUUUCUGGUAAAUUUUAAAUUUCUGCAAUAUGAUCAAAGAAAAAAAUACGGUGGUGGGGCAUGGUUAAGAAGCUUGGUUUGCAACUAUUUGGUUUUGGGUUCAGUUCCACUCAACAGCUCCUUGGUUGCAAUACCUUUUUAUUAACCAACUGAAGAAUAUGGGAAAGUUGUGAUGAUCAGAAGUGUCUCCCAGUGUAGGUAAAAUGUAAUGCUUAGCAAGAACUGAAAUCAAUUUUGGUCUACUCCACAAUGUUCAAUUGCUUAGAAAAUUCUGGCAGUCAAUAACAAUAAUAAUCAUGGUUCAGAACAGAUUUCAAGGUGGUCUCCAAGUAAGGAAUGAAUUUUCAACAUCACUGAUGUCCUAAUUAAUGUCUUUGAGAAAGGUCAUAAAUAUAUUCAUGUAAACACCUGUGUUAGGGAAUAACUCAAUAGAAAAUGAAUAACAAAAACUAAUAAAUAUAUUAUAUACAUAUUUACUUUUGUGGAAUCUGAAUACCAUCAAAUAAAAACUUUGUUUAUUCUAUUGAAACCGAAUUUCUAUUAAAAUCUUGAUUUAAAGAGGAAGAGAAGAACACACUUAAAAAUCAGCAUUCAAAUCACAAACAUCAGAUCAUGCAGCAAAGAUAAAAAGAAAAAAAAACUGUUCACAAUAAAACUUCCAUUUUUUCACGAA